AGAGUUUGAUCAUGGCUCAGAUUGAACGCUGGCGGCAGGCCUAACACAUGCAAGUCGAACGGUAACAGGAAACAGCUUGCUGUUUCGCUGACGAGUGGCGGACGGGUGAGUAAUGUCUGGGAAACUGCCUGAUGGAGGGGGAUAACUACUGGAAACGGUAGCUAAUACCGCAUAACGUCGCAAGACCAAAGAGGGGGACCUUCGGGCCUCUUGCCAUCAGAUGCGCCCAGAUGGGAUUAGCUAGUAGGUGGGGUAACGGCUCACCUAGGCGACGAUCCCUAGCUGGUCUGAGAGGAUGACCAGCCACACUGGAACUGAGACACGGUCCAGACUCCUACGGGAGGCAGCAGUGGGGAAUAUUGCACAAUGGGCGCAAGCCUGAUGCAGCCAUGCCGCGUGUAUGAAGAAGGCCUUCGGGUUGUAAAGUACUUUCAGCGGGGAGGAAGGGAGUAAAGUUAAUACCUUUGCUCAUUGACGUUACCCGCAGAAGAAGCACCGGCUAACUCCGUGCCAGCAGCCGCGGUAAUACGGAGGGUGCAAGCGUUAAUCGGAAUUACUGGGCGUAAAGCGCACGCAGGCGGUUUGUUAAGUCAGAUGUGAAAUCCCCGGGCUCAACCUGGGAACUGCAUCUGAUACUGGCAAGCUUGAGUCUCGUAGAGGGGGGUAGAAUUCCAGGUGUAGCGGUGAAAUGCGUAGAGAUCUGGAGGAAUACCGGUGGCGAAGGCGGCCCCCUGGACGAAGACUGACGCUCAGGUGCGAAAGCGUGGGGAGCAAACAGGAUUAGAUACCCUGGUAGUCCACGCCGUAAACGAUGUCGACUUGGAGGUUGUGCCCUUGAGGCGUGGCUUCCGGAGCUAACGCGUUAAGUCGACCGCCUGGGGAGUACGGCCGCAAGGUUAAAACUCAAAUGAAUUGACGGGGGCCCGCACAAGCGGUGGAGCAUGUGGUUUAAUUCGAUGCAACGCGAAGAACCUUACCUGGUCUUGACAUCCACGGAAGUUUUCAGAGAUGAGAAUGUGCCUUCGGGAACCGUGAGACAGGUGCUGCAUGGCUGUCGUCAGCUCGUGUUGUGAAAUGUUGGGUUAAGUCCCGCAACGAGCGCAACCCUUAUCCUUUGUUGCCAGCGGUCCGGCCGGGAACUCAAAGGAGACUGCCAGUGAUAAACUGGAGGAAGGUGGGGAUGACGUCAAGUCAUCAUGGCCCUUACGACCAGGGCUACACACGUGCUACAAUGGCGCAUACAAAGAGAAGCGACCUCGCGAGAGCAAGCGGACCUCAUAAAGUGCGUCGUAGUCCGGAUUGGAGUCUGCAACUCGACUCCAUGAAGUCGGAAUCGCUAGUAAUCGUGGAUCAGAAUGCCACGGUGAAUACGUUCCCGGGCCUUGUACACACCGCCCGUCACACCAUGGGAGUGGGUUGCAAAAGAAGUAGGUAGCUUAACCUUCGGGAGGGCGCUUACCACUUUGUGAUUCAUGACUGGGGUGAAGUCGUAACAAGGUAACCGUAGGGGAACCUGCGGUUG
rnacentral:rRNA from 1 species